AUACGAAAGGGAAUGGCUCCUAUACAGCGUGCAGCACGUAAACACAACCAGUGCGCAGAAUGAUGCACUUAAAGCAACACAGAGUCACAGCGUGUAGCAUUACUCAUAGAAAUAUUCAAAACACCAAAGGAAGAGAUAUUGUUGUGUAUUAUAUGUGUGCAGUAUUUUGAGCCUUUUCUUUUAACAGUUUUAAAUAUCAGUUAUUGUGCGCUCUCGAAGAGAGUUUCAUUGAUUUGACUGUAGUAACUAGGGCUGGGAUGAUAUGCUAAUCUGCCAAAUCAAUACUAUCCCGAUACUUGUGUGCCUAUUCAAUAUAUAUUUAUAAUUAUAUAUAUAUAUAUAAUUUAGCAUUGUGAUUAUAGUUAUAUAACUAUUGCAAUUCGUGACUUAUCCAAAUUGUUUAUAAAAUGAUCUUUGUUUCUGUAGAUUUGAGGGAAAGAUUAAAAACAAGGAGGUCUGGGAAUGACUGAAGGGAACUGACAGCAGUGAGGGAAGGAAGUUAUCACCAGAAUCUCAGAGAAGGAUGUUGACAGCAGGCCCAGGAUGAAGAAGAGGAGGAAGAACAUGUUUAACAAUUUUCUAUAAGCUUGCCAUGUGUUAUAAUAAAAACAAUGAACAUGACUACAAUAAUAUGCUAAAUGUUAUUAAAAGAUUCCAGUUUGCAAGAAAUCUGAGUGUCUGACUCUACACUAGAGGAACUCUUUUCUGAAGAAGAUCAGGUGCUGAGAAGGAGCCUUGUUCUACAGCACAACACUGCAAGCCUCCUGUCCUUCCCUCAGAAGAGCCUGUCUUCUGCUGCUGGGGUAAGAAACACACUCUUCCUCUUCUCUAUCAGCUGUCCUGCACCUAACUCUGCCUCCUCAGCACUGUCUGAAAGAGUCUUCUCCACAGUCAGUAAUCACAGAUCACAGAUUCUUCUGAGAAAGUCGAUAUGCUCAUUUUCUUAAAAAACUUUGUUUUUUCGGGUGGGACAAAUAAUACAGGAGAGAUGCUAGAAAUCUCUAUAUUGUUUAUUUUUCAUAUCUUUACGCUUUAUGAAUGUUUUUCUUCUGAGAAGCUCAAAAAUUAUGGUUCUUUGGUAAUUGUUAUAUUGUUUAGUUUUAUCCUCUGAUAGUGAGCACAGAGCCCUGAUCAUGACAUGCAAGAAAAAGAAAGAAAUCAUGUCCAUGAUUUACUAAUUCAUUCCCUCUAUGUACUAAAACGUGCACGAUUACUUUUACAUUUCAUUGAUUUGCUAAAUCGUAUGCACAAUUUACUAAUUCGUUCUCUUGAUGUAUAAAUAGUGUACACAUUUUAGCAAAUCGAGGGAAUGAAAUAGAAAAUCGUGCG